AAAAUAAUCGUUUGUAUUACAUACAUUCUAAACACAAACCUUUAGGAUGUAAAAAUGGUUAAAAGAGCUGUUUAAAAAGAAUAGCGCAUAUUACACGACUUCUAAACAAAGAUACUUACGAGGUAAAAAUGUUAAAGUGCUGGUUAAAAGAUGUUUAAACUAGGAGAUAAGUUUUUUCCAGAGUUGUCUUCCAGUCGCUGUGUUAAGCAGUAAUGAAGUUAAACUGAGACACUUCACUCUCGCUAAACCCCGCCCACACAUACGUGUUUUCAGACACACCUCUCUCUCUCUCUCUCUCUAAACCCCGCCCAUACAUACAUGUUUCAGACACACCUCUCUCUCUCUCUCUCUCUCUCUCUCACUCUCUCUCUCUCUAAACCCCGCCCAUACACGUGUUUCACCGGUAGACAGUACUUUCUGUCAAACUGUCAAUCGAAGUAGUGUGCUAAUUUAUGAUCUUUGUGUUUUUCCUGAGCAACAGUUUGUAGGUAGUCUAAUUUAUGAUCUUUGUGUUUUCCUGAGCAAGAGCUUUGUGUGGAGACACUUAUUUUAUGACCGGGGG